CUUCAAUGAUGAAGUUGAUGACAAGAUAAACAUAGGUGUUGCUGCUGUAGGCGGUCUGGUUGGAGCAGGCAUUGUAGCGAUAACAGGCGUCAUUCUGGCUGUUGUUCUAUGGAAACGUGGUCUGGUGCGAUGGGGAAAGAGACACAGUCACCGACCAGCAAAUGACAACGCUGAUUACGACGAUACCAGGGUUGAAUUCACAACACCCGAAAAUCGCCCUGUACACACCUCCGCCAGCAUUGGGACUGAGAACGUUAAUGAUGUAUUUCACCCUGAACGCUCGCUUGGACAAAACCCCCCUGGGCGAACUUCAAGUCGUUUGAAUGACAAUAUGGCAAACGAGCAAGAGUCACUAUAUGCGCAUAUAGAUCCAGUAGAGCCAGUAACGCCUGGAGAGUAUUUGGACUUCAGACAACUAAGUUCGGAAUAAUAGAGUAUCCUCAUCCCAA